rnacentral:sRNA from 1 species
AAUGGCUGUUGUUGUGCCCCGACAUUGUGGC